rnacentral:rRNA from 1 species
GACGAACGCUGGCGGCGUGCCUAAUACAUGCAAGUAGAACGCUGAAGGAGGAGCUUGCUUCUCUGGAUGAGUUGCGAACGGGUGAGUAACGCGUAGGUAACCUGCCUGGUAGCGGGGGAUAACUAUUGGAAACGAUAGCUAAUACCGCAUAAGAGUAGAUGUCGCAUGACAUUUGCUUAAAAGGUGCAAUUGCAUCACUACCAGAUGGACCUGCGUUGUAUUAGCUAGUUGGUGAGGUAACGGCUCACCAAGGCAACGAUACAUAGCCGACCUGAGAGGGUGAUCGGCCACACUGGGACUGAGACACGGCCCAGACUCCUACGGGAGGCGGCAGUAGGGAAUCUUCGGCAAUGGACGGAAGUCUGACCGAGCAACGCCGCGUGAGUGAAGAAGGUUUUCGGAUCGUAAAGCUCUGUUGUAAGAGAAGAACGAGUGUGAGAGUGGAAAGUUCACACUGUGACGGUAUCUUACCAGAAAGGGACGGCUAACUACGUG